CUUGGUCAUUUAGAGGAAGUAAAAGUCGUAACAAGGUUUCCGUAGGUGAACCUGCGGAAGGAUCAUUACAGAGUUCAUGCCCGAAAGGGUAGACCUCCCACCCUUGUGUAUUAUUACUUUGUUGCUUUGGCGAGCUGCCUUCGGGCCUUGUAUGCUCGCCAGAGAAUACCAAAACUCUUUUUAUUAAUGUCGUCUGAGUACUAUAUAAUAGUUAAAACUUUCAACAACGGAUCUCUUGGUUCUGGCAUCGAUGAAGAACGCAGCGAAAUGCGAUAAGUAAUGUGAAUUGCAGAAUUCAGUGAAUCAUCGAAUCUUUGAACGCACAUUGCGCCCCUUGGUAUUCCGGGGGGCAUGCCCGUUCGAGCGUCAUUUCAACCCUCAAGCUUAGCUUGGUAUUGAGUCUAUGUCAGUAAUGGCAGGCUCUAAAAUCAGUGGCGGCGCCGCUGGGUCCUAGAACGUAGUAAUUAUCUCUCGUUACAGGUUCUCGGUGUGCUUCUGCCAAAACCCAAAUUUUUCUAUGGUUGACCUCGGAUCAGGUAGGGAUACCCGCUGAACUUAAGCAUAUCAAUAAGCGGAGGA
rnacentral:rRNA from 1 species